AACGAACGCUGGCGGCAGGCUUAACACAUGCAAGUCGAGCGCCCCGCAAGGGGAGCGGCAGACGGGUGAGUAACGCGUGGGAAUCUACCCAGUUCUACGGAAUAACCCAGGGAAACUUGGACUAAUACCGUAUACGCCCUACGGGGGAAAGAUUUAUCGGAAUUGGAUGAGCCCGCGUUGGAUUAGCUAGUUGGUGAGGUAACGGCUCACCAAGGCGACGAUCCAUAGCUGGUCUGAGAGGAUGAUCAGCCACACUGGGACUGAGACACGGCCCAGACUCCUACGGGAGGCAGCAGUGGGGAAUAUUGGACAAUGGGCGCAAGCCUGAUCCAGCCAUGCCGCGUGAGUGAUGAAGGCCUUAGGGUUGUAAAGCUCUUUCAGUGGGGAAGAUAAUGACGGUACCCACAGAAGAAGCCCCGGCUAACUUCGUGCCAGCAGCCGCCGUAACAC
rnacentral:rRNA from 1 species